CUCAGCAGCCUCAGGGUGGGCUCAGGGGAAGGCUCCCAUACCCUGAGCCACUGCCUGUGCCAGGGUGGCCGGGUUAACCUCCCUUGUGAUGCUCACACGGAAGCCCAGAGGGUGUGGAGUGGAGAUGGGCAUUGGGGCUGUGCCACCCGUGGUGACACAGAGCCCUGCUGUGCAGCUCCAGCCCAACCCCACUGCGCUCAGGGCUGAUGCAGUGGGGUAAGCUGGGGAAACGGGCUGCAGGAGGAGCCUUUGGUGCAUGGGGAGCUCCUGCUCUGCAUCUCCGCACAGUGCCUCAUUCCCGUGUCCUAAUUGCAGCCAGUGAGUCUGCCUGCAGCACUGGCAGCGGUGGGGCACAGGGGUGGGGGCUGCUCUGUCUCUUUGGGCGAUGCUGAGCGCUGCGGUGAGGGAUGUGGGGCAGUGCGUGGUGGGCUGUGUGGGUGUCCCACCCCCGCCCCCCUGUGCCCAGGUUGUCCCCCCUCCGUCCCCAAGCUCUGCAAGGCUGGACCUGCCCAACUUCGUCGUCCCUGUGGGUGCAGCAGUCCCUGCCCCAGCGCUGCCUGCCCCAACCUCGGUGUUCCCAGCACUCAGGGAUGGCAGCAGGACACAAACGUGCCCCGCGCUGUUUUGUUCAGGUCCGACACAAACAACGGUGGUAGAUUUCCUCUGUGUCAGCAGCGCAGCUGUCCUGCGAGCCUCCUGCAGGGUGAGGGCAGCAAGGUGGUGACAGCUGUGUCCGGAGUGAGGUGCCAGGGCCCCCUGGGACCUCAGGGCAUCACUUUACAUAGGCACAAUAGCAGCUGGGUGAAUUGCAGGGCCCGUGGUGCCUCUGCUGUUGGGUGCUGGAGUGCAUCUCGUACGAUGUUAAAUCUGGUGGCACCCACCAUGGUGCACCACAGGCAGAAAUGGGAUCCUCGCGGCCGCCCCUUCCCCCCCCCCAGCACCUUACACUGCCGACACCAUCUGCAGCGCAACAAGAAAUCCCAAGCCAUACAUGUUUAAUUUUCUACAACACAGCAGCCAUUUCAGCCACACACCCAGAAAGGAUCUUUAAUGAGAAGCGAGGAGAGAGAGCACGCAGCACGCAGGAGAGCCGAGGCACUAUGGAAACACUCUGCUCCCUCCCGGCUGCCUGCCGCUGCUCCGAGUUCAGCCCGGAGAACUUCCCUGCACUGCUGGAGGUUGAUGAGGAGGGAUUGCCGUGACCCCGUGCCUGUGACAGUCGUUUCAGGGCCCCCGGGGGGCUGUGAGCGCGGCCCCCGGUGCCGGUGCCGGUGCCGGCCGCCC
ensembl:lncRNA